UAGGGAAUCUUCCACAAUGAGCGCAAGCCUGAUGGAGCAACACCGCGUGAGUGAAGAAGGGUUUCGGCUCGUAAAGCUCUGUUGUUAAAGAAGAACACGUAUGAGAGUAACUGUUCAUACGUUGACGGUAUUUAACCAGAAAGUCACGGCUAACUACGUGCCAG
rnacentral:rRNA from 1 species